GUACCCAUAGUUUAACGGAUAAAACAGCUGAUUCCGGUUCAGCCGAUGGGGGUUCGAUUCCUCUUGGGUACGCUA
rnacentral:tRNA from 3 species